rnacentral:rRNA from 1 species
AUUGAACGCUGGCGGCAGGCUUAACACAUGCAAGUCGAGCGGGGGAAGGUAGCUUGCUACCGGACCUAGCGGCGGACGGGUGAGUAAUGCUUAGGAAUCUGCCUAUUAGUGGGGGACAACAUCUCGAAAGGGAUGCUAAUACCGCAUACGUCCUACGGGAGAAAGCAGGGGAUCUUCGGACCUUGCGCUAAUAGAUGAGCCUAAGUCGGAUUAGCUAGUUGGUGGGGUAAAGGCCUACCAAGGCGACGAUCUGUAGCGGGUCUGAGAGGAUGAUCCGCCACACUGGGACUGAGACACGGCCCAGACUCCUACGGGAGGCAGCAGUGGGGAAUAUCGGACAAUGGGGGGAACCCUGAUCCAGCCAUGCCGCGUGUGUGAAGAAGGCCUUGUGGUUGUAAAGCACUUUAAGCGAGGAGGAGGCUACUUUAGUUAAUACCUAGAGAUAGUGGACGUUACUCGCAGAAUAAGCACCGGCUAACUCUGUGCCAGCCGCCGCCGUAA